GAUGAACGCUGGCGGCGUGCCUAAUACAUGCAAGUCGAGCGAACAGACGAGGAGCUUGCUCCUCUGACGUUAGCGGCGGACGGGUGAGGAACACGUGGAUAACCUACCUAUAAGACUGGGAUAACUUCGGGAAACCGGAGCUAAUACCGGAUAAUAUAGUGAACCGCAUGGUUCAUUGGUGAAAGACGGUUUUGCUGUCACUUAUUGAUGGAUCCGCGCCGCAUUAGCUAGUUGGUAAGGUAACGGCUUACCAAGGCAACGAUGCGUAGCCGACCUGAGAGGGUGAUCGGCCACACUGGAACUGAGACACGGUCCAGACUCCUACGGGAGGCAGCAGUAGGGAAUAUUCCGCAAUGGGCGAAAGCCUGACGGAGCAACGCCGCGUGAGUGAUGAAGGUCUUCGGAUCGUAAAACUCUGUUAUUAGGGAAGAACAAAUGUGUAAGUAACUAUGCACGUCUUGACGGUACCUAAUCAGAAAGCCACGGCUAACUACGUG
rnacentral:rRNA from 1 species